rnacentral:rRNA from 1 species
GACAGAGGUGCCGAGCGUUAGGCGGAAUCACUGGGCUUAAAGCGUGUGUAGGCGGGUGCCUAAGGACUUUUUGAAAUCCCACGGCUCAACCGUGGAACUGCUUGGUAUACUGGGUAUCUUGAGCCACUUAGGGGCAACCGGAACAAACGGUGGAGCGGUGAAAUGCGUAGAUAUCGUUUGGAACGCCAAUGGUGAAAACAGGUUGCUGGGAGUGUGCUGACGCUGAGACACGAAAGCCAGGGGAGCAAACGGG